CUUUCGAACCCGUGCGCAUGAGACAAAAUAGAAGAGCAUAAGCAACUGGACCUAAGAGAACCUUUAGAGUUUGGUGCCCCUACAAAAUACAUAUUUUAGCGUUUAAAGUUCUAGCUUUAUGCCAAGGUCGGACCUUCCGACACAGAACGGUGGACGCAGAGACACCGGAGAAAUGAGGAGACCCCAUCACAUCGCAAGACGACACCGCCAAUACUGUACUCCAACCUAGCUACCCCUAGCAGCCCGUAGCCCACCACCACAUGGCAAGACAGUGGUUUCACCGUCGAUUUAGCACCCUCCUACUGGAGGAGAGAUGAUUUUAUCUCUGUAACUGAGAAAGAUGCGGUACCUUGGAAGCGGCUGCUAUUCGGAGAAUUAAGAAUGAAAUUUUAUGUAAGACUGGCAAAUAAGAACGGUGUGAUAUACAUGUAGGUAUUAUUAAAUACUAUAUAUUUUUCAAAAAAUAUAUACUUCUUAUGUUUUAGAAAAAAGUUAGUUUUAUAAAAAUAGAUUUUUUUGUGUGUUUUCUAUGAACAAGUUGUGAACUUCGAAAAGAAUAGUUUACUUUAUUGAAUUAAUAUUAUUAAAAUUUAUUAGAAAUUAAAAAUCCCAUAAAAUGAUGUAUUUAUUAUAGUUAUUUUGAUAAAAAAUUUAAAUAUAUGUGAAAAUAACCAAAAAAAAUAUAUUUGUGGAAUGGAGGGAAUAGUACUUAAAAAAAACAGCUUAUACUGAAAAUCAGUUCCAUAAUUUUAAAUAGUUUCGAAACAAACCUUAAUGAAAUACUC
rnacentral:lncRNA from 1 species